CCUUAGAAAAACGGGGCCCCGGACCGACCCGUUUCUAAUUAUAAUCAACGGUCGAGAUUGAAUGAUAACCUAUCCUGCAAUCUGAAUCGUUAAUUUCUAACCUAGGGUUUCAGAAUCAAUUUCAGACUUUCAGUCUCACUCUCUCACAAUCUCACUCCCACCUCUCCACCAUCGACUCGACUCCCCACUCCAACGACAUCCCAGAGAACGUCCAUCACCGCCGAUGCGACCAACACAACAGCAGCAGCACCACCACCCAUCCAACCAUCCUCCGACCUCGACGACAUCUAUUAUUUCGUCGGCUACCUUCGCAGUCGCACAGUUUUGGGAUUGGAAAGGGUGGCGCCAGAUUCUUGAGGUUGGUUUCUGUAAAGUUCAGCAUCUCUACCAACUGCAAGUCUGCAUCAACAUGUAUAAUUAAUAAACUUUCUCCUAUCCUUCUAUUAGUUCUAUUUUGUAUGUUGAUUUGGACGAUGUAUUAUUGUUAUUUUGGACUCUCGGAAUUUGGAUGUGUUGUUAUUUUGGACGUUGGUAGGGCCGUUGUGGUAGAAUGAUAGAAUCUGUGCAAUAUGUGCAAAUUUUAGCUUUUUUUUUUUUACCAACAAAAAAAAAAAACCAAGGACCUGUGGACCCAGCCCGAAUCGGCCCGUUUCAACUGGGCCAGGUAAGGUCCGGUUCCUAUAUUGAAAACUGUAAUACCCGGCCUGGCCUGGCCCGUCUCCUUUGAACCUAGGUCCGGUCCGGUCCCUUCAAAAUUGGGCCCGACCCAGCCCAUGCCCACCCCUAGUUCUAACCGACAGUAAUGAAAAUUUUCUGUCAGUUUUUAUUUAAAAAAAUGUUUUUGUCGGUUUUAACCAACAAUAAUGAAAAUUUUCCAAAAUAAAACUCAUCCAUCUCUUCCUUACGCCGGUGCCUUCUCCCUUCCCCCUUCCUUCCCACUUUUCUCCUCUUCAUUUCCUUCUUCUUCUCUUCUCCUCUCCCCUUCUCCUUCUUGCUUCAAUCACCAUGGAUGAACAAUUCGAGAAGCAAACUAAGACAUUUGGAGCUAGAUAAAAUUUUCUGGUUCAAGACCUUGAUGUUGCCACGAAGCAUAGGGUGUCUAACCAGUCUGCACAAGUUGCACAAAUUUUCGAUUUGUCUUUUCUUUUCUUUUCAAAUAUAUUUAUCUGUCUUUCCAAUCCUUUUCUAGUUGUUUGGGGUCAAACUUCUGUCUAACAAUAUAUAUAUAUAUAUAUAUAUAUAUAUAUAGAGGUUAGUUGUGAAACAUGAAACAAACUUGAAGAAUUGAAGAAUAUGGUGUACCUUAAGAGGAACGUUGCACAUCUUAAAGCUGGAAAAUGCAGUGAAUGUAGGGGAGGCCAACUUGAAAGGGAAAGAAAUGAUUCAGGACAUGUCAGCUGUAGGUUAUGAUCUAGCUGAAGCAUAUGUGCCCGAGAGACCUCCAUUGGAAGAAGCUGAAGAUGGAAAAACAAGAAAGAGCCAAGCUCGGCAUGGCUGAAUCCAAAGUGGUAAAAUCUAGGUUGUUUCUUUCUGGUGUUAAGAAAAAUCCAUCCAAGCAAUUUCCAAAUGACUUGUUCUGCAGAAAAUUCGAAACUGUAGACUUAGAUGGUCAUUCAACAGCUUUUAGGAAUAUAACAAUUUCAAACUUUACUGUAACAAUUUUUUCCUGCUAAAAAACAGUAACUAAAUAGGAAAAACAAUAACCUAGUAGCAUACCAAAUUACAGUAUUAAACCUCUGAAAAUUUCUCGGACAGAGUACGAUUGAUCAAACUUUAUCGUUUCCAACUUCUGCCAUUGCAGCUGAAUGAACUUUUCGAACGUUGCUCGGACGGACUUUCUUCAACGUGCACAAGAAACAACCUUUAGGCGGGCACCAUUUCAUUAUUUUUGGAUUUCAAUUUUUUUUAUUAUUAAUAUAUUUUCUGUCGGUUUUAUCUGACAGACAAUACUCUUAUGUAUUCAUUAUUAAUAAAUUAUAUGUCGGUUAUAUCCAACACAAGUUUGUCGAUUUUAGAGUAUUUUUUGUCGGUUUUAUCUAUAACAGAGAAUGCUCUUAUUUAUUCAUUAUUAAUAUAUUCUCUGUCGAUUAUAUCCGACACAGUUUCUGUCGGUUUUAGAGUAUUUUGUGUCGGAAAAUUCAUUUCCUGACAGUGGUAAUUCUGUUGCUUAUUAUAUUCGCCAAUGCAUCCAUUUUCUGUUGGAUUUUGCCUAAUAUCCGACAGAAAUAUACGUUUCUUGUCGGUUAUCAUAUCGAUACUAAUAUAUGGUUUCGUAGCAGUUGCUAAGUGACAAUUCUCCGUUUCGCUUUGGAUAGAAAAGAAUUAAGUGAAAAAUGCAUUGAUUUUGGUUUUAUUUUUCCUGAUUUCUUUAACAUGUGUAUGGAAACAUAGUUUUAUGUCUCAUAUCCAUUUUCGCACUGGUUUACGGGUGCAGAUUGAAACUGUGGCUCAGUUUGGGGUAAUCUUUCUUCUUUGUUCUCCACAUUCACUCCUAUUAUCCUUUUUCUUGGAUGCAUAGUAUUCACAGGUCACAUUGUUUUUUCUUUUGGCCCUUAGGUGUUGAAAUUUUUUAUGGAAUUUCAUUGAUGUAACUAUUGUGUCUUAUUUUGGGCAUUACCGUAUUAGGGGAAGAUGAAGUCUAUUUAGAUAAGAGUAAAUUGACUGUGUUUUAAUUUUUUUUUGAAUUCAGAUAAUCAUGUUCAAUUUUUUUUGGUUUGAUUUAAAGGAAUUUCUUACACAAAAAAGUUAUGGUUUUCUGAUUAGUUUUUUGGGUUGUUUAUCUGGAUGGUUUUGUUUUCGUCAAAUUUGUGGCUUUUGUGAUUUGAGAUUUGUACAUAAAUUUAAAUUUAAUUUUUCUGAUUUCCGCUCUCAUUUGGAUCCUGACACUUCCUCAUCAUUAAAAUCAUUUUUUUUGCUGUUCUUUUCCAAGCACACUUGCAGAUCCACAAGGCAUCGAGAUUAAUUUGGCUCCUGUUAAACAAAUCAGAUGUCAGAAGAGUGGAAUCAGUGGUGUUUGAAAAAGAGCUUCGCUACACUCUUUGGGUUGCUUCCGUGGUAUUUAUCUAAAUGGCAAUGAUGGGAGGUAGAGGAAGGCGUGAUAACCAAGAGCUUGGGGAUUUGAGAGUUGAAAGAGAUGACGAAAUUCAAGAGUUGCAACAAGAAAUCGAGUUGCUUGCCUUGCAAAUUGAAUGCCUAGAAGCUCGUAGGAAGCAUGGUGGAACAAAACGCAGGAAGCACAACCAACGAUGAUGGACCACCCAAAUGUCAAGGUUUGGUAGUUGGCUUGAGGAUGCUAGGUCUUGCAUUGUUGAAUGCGAAUCUGAUAAGGUGAACCCAAAUACUCAUCAAAAUGAACAAGUGGUGAUGCCUAAAGUUUCAAAUUUGAAGGACGCUACUGCAACACUCAAGUCCGUUUGGAAAAUGGAGAGCACAUGACUUAAGGAUCUCAGACCCAAGGUAAAAUGUAAUAAUCUCUGGCUCCCUUUACUGAUGUACGCUUGCAUGCACGAGAUCUUUGAAUUUUAAUUGCAUGUGCACUCUUUGUGCCAAAAGUUUUUGGAUCCAAAGUGGUCAGGAUGCUAAGUUGGGAAGGUUAAUUUUGUCCUAUGGGUUUGGAAUGGAUUGGGAUGGGUCUAGGUUGCUGUCAUUCGAUGAGGGUUUGGUGAAUGAGAGCCAUGCCGCCUUUGCACAGAGAGAGAGAGAGGGAGUAGUAGGUCGUGUUUUAUUGUCUUCACUGCACCAUUAGUUUGAUUGCCUAUCCUUGAGUAUUUGAGUCGUUUUUAUACUUUUUCCUUCGUCUGGAAGAUGACUUCUAAUUCCUAUAAUAAUGAGAUACUCAAUCUUCAAUCCUGCUUAGUAGCAGCAAUCACCACCUGUUUGAUGAAAGGUACACGUGAAACAGUUGUUAAUAUUUGGGAACCAACAGAGCUCCUUAUUUUGGGGGUUGUUUCUGUUUUUGGCAGGAGGACGAUUUGGAGUGACUUACAAAGUUAAACUUAGAUAUCGAAAUUAAUGGAAACCCAUUGUUCUUAAGACCAAUUGUGAGCCCUGAAGAAAAUGAGACGCUACUUUUGCAGACGAUAAAGACACUACUUUUGCAGACGAUAAACCAUAUUGAGAGUGAAUGAAUCUCCUUUUGAGAUGGUCAUGUUGGAGUACAUUUUUACUAACUUGGUAUACUAUGGAAAUUCAUGGACUCUUUUACUUGCCCCCUUUAUAUUUGUAUUUGUUAAUUACAUGACAGUUUUCGACCCGUCGCAUCACGCGGGCAUGAAUCCUGGUUCUAACAAUAACAUGCUUAGUUUUCCUGUCAA